GCAGCAGCAGCAGCAGCAGCAGCAGCAGUCAGGCUGCUUUGUCCCAGGGUGUAUGACAGUAUAUGGGCGCCCCCUAGCGUAUGAUUUCCCCGUGCUUUGAAAUAAGAUUCAAUUUAGAGGAGCCACCCGACAAGGAAACUGCUUCAGUCUCGUCUCGCUCAGCGACCAAAACUAACGAGCUCCAUUAUAAACUCACGCCUGUUUGUUUAAAAUCUGUUUUUACAUGACUUGGACGGCAAAGCUUUGACACUUGCCAAAGUUGGAUUUACUUCUUUUUUUUUGCCACUUUAUUUAGACCGAAUUGUAUCUUUAAAAGCAAGUGCGUGCGAUUAUUGUUUCGUCUAUAUGACUUAUGUUAUCUAAUUUUAUUUACGGUUGCCGUGAACAUGGAGAGCCAGUAAAUAAUAAUAAUAAUAAUUAUAAUUUUUUUUUAAAUUAAUACUCCACAAUAGACUCAUCGGGGACGCACGUUUACUUCAAAGGAGCUCAGAACUGAAAACUGGCAGAGCUUCCUCUCCAGCAGACGGGAUCAGACACAAAAAAGAGGCACGCUGCUGCGCUGUUUAUUGGAAGAUUGCAAUGUCUGUUGGUGGUGAUGAGGAUGAUGGUGGUGGUGAUGAUCGUGCAGAAACUUUGAGGGAGAGCCCGAAGACUUGCAGCAAAUUGAUUCGCGUCAUUCAUAAAGCCAUUGCCUGUAAUGGCUCAGCUUUUCCUCUACAAAUGAGACAUUAGUGAACAGCAGCCUGUGAGUGAUUUUCAGGAAACACAGUGUGGUACAAAUGUGCACUGUCAGGCAGCAUCACUUGCAUCGCAGCAAGCUCAUGGUGCAAGCAUCAGGGGGAAAACACUGCUACAUCUGCUUAGAACUGGAUGCAUGACUAAACUAUCAUUGUGUAUUGUAUCGUAAGAAACUUUCAUAUUCUGUGUAUACAGUACACAUACAAUAAGCAUCGAUAAACCGAUAAA